rnacentral:rRNA from 1 species
CCUACGGGGGGCAGCAGUGAGGAAUAUUGGUCAAUGGACGAGAGUCUGAACCAGCCAAGUAGCGUGAAGGAUGACUGCCCUAUGGGUUGUAAACUUCUUUUAUAUGGGAAUAAAAUGUUCCACGUGUGGGAUUUUGUAUGUACCAUAUGAAUAAGGAUCGGCUAACUCCGUGCCAGCAGCCGCGGUAAUACGGAGGAUCCGAGCGUUAUCCGGAUUUAUUGGGUUUAAAGGGAGCGUAGGUGGAUUGUUAAGUCAGUUGUGAAAGUUUGCGGCUCAACCGUAAAAUUGCAGUUGAAACUGGCAGUCUUGAGUACAGUAGAGGUGGGCGGAAUUCGUGGUGUAGCGGUGAAAUGCUUAGAUAUCACGAAGAACUCCGAUUGCGAAGGCAGUUCACUGGACUGCAACUGACACUGAGGCUUGAAAGUGUGGGUAUCAAACAGGAUUAGAUACCCCAGUAGUC